AAACAAAUGUCACAUCACAUCUGUCAAGUGAAGUGAAAUGUGACGGUGGUCCAUGUUUUGUCUUUUCUGAUUUACUUGUUGAUUUUCUUGUAAAUUAAUGCAAAAACAAGUGUAAAAUAUUACCGUCUGACUAGUAACGACUAUGUUGUAGUGCUGUGAGUGUCUGAAGAGCGGAGGACUCGUCUUCUCGCCGUUGGAAGCGCCUACUGUUCAGAGCGCGUGCCCCGUGCGAGCAUGGAGGACGAAGUGACAUUCCUGUUCCAACUGGGCGUGCUCCGGGACGCGGUGAGUGCGCCUGCGCACGCGCUCACACUCGCACAUCUCAAGGAGCUCGCCGUCAAGUUCGUACUAGAGAAGAUCCCAGACAACGGGCUGAGUCGACUUUCUGAACGGAUCCUGUUGUUCCGCCACGACUACUGCUCGCCGAACGUGCUGCAGCUAAUCAACAGCGGCACCGACGUCGGCGACGAGACCCUCGUCGAGAUCGUCUUCACUGCCAACCCGUUAGUAUGCGACGGAACACUAGAAGCGCCCGCUCUGCGGCCCCACGCGCUGGCCGUGCACUCGUACAAGGCGCCCACCUUCUGUGACUUCUGCGGGGAGAUGCUUUUCGGGCUGGUGCGACAAGGGCUGAAGUGCGAGGGCUGCGGUCAGAACUACCACAAGCGCUGCGCAGUGAAGGUGCCGUCGAACUGCGCGGCGCCGGCGAGCGCGCGGCGCACGUCCGCGGCGCCGCGCAGCCCGUCGCGCGGCUCCGACCACAGCCACGCCUCACACGACGACUCGCUGAUGAGCGGGUCCGUGAGCAAGCGCAGCAGCUCCCCGCCGGCCGCGGCCGCGCCGCCGCCGCACUCCUCCAUCGGCAUCCCGCACACCUUCGAGAUCCACUCCUACACCAGGCCCACAGUAUGCAGAUACUGCAAGAAGCUGCUGCGCGGGCUGUUCAAGCAGGGCAUGCAGUGCAGGGACUGCCACUACAACGCGCACCGGAAAUGUCUGCAGUUCGUGCCCAAGGACUGCGGCGGGGAGAUCAGGGACCCGCAUGGCGAAUACCAGGACAGCAUCAGCACCGGCAGCGAGAUAUCGGAGAGCGCGCGCCUCCCUGACGAGGAGUCCGACGACGGCGACGCGACAUCGGGCAGCCGCGACGACGAGGCCACGCUGCGCACGCGCACCCUCACCGACGACGAGCCGCAGCGGGACACGGUGCCCGCCAGCCGGCCCAGCAGAUGUCUGUCUAUAAUAAAAUCUGACGGAGGAUAUGAUUCUGAGGUCACGUUGCGAGGAUAUGCGGAUACAGAUGAUGAGGGGCGGAGAGACACUGAACCUGAUGUUAGACUCCACAGUACCUGUCUGUCUGACGGAGAAGCGACAAGCGAAUACGAUGACGUGGUCAUACUGCGAAGACGCGUGGACUUCGAUGAUGGGCCCCAGAGGGACAAAUCAACGAGCAGGCCUAGCAGCUCGUCGUCAUCACCCAGCGCCAACAUCCCGCUGAUGAGGAUCGUGCAGUCGGUGAAGCACACCAAGAAGCGGGAGGGGCAGUGGCUGAAGGAAGGCUGGCUGGUGCACUUCACCAAUAAGGACAAGACGAUAAAGCGCCACUACUGGCGGCUGGACAGCAAGUCCAUCACGCUGUUCACGUCGGAGCAGGGCAGCAAGUACUACAAGGAGCUGCCUCUCGACGAGGUGCUGGCUGUGGACACCGCCCGCCAGCCGCACUCUGACGUGAUGCACUGCUUCGAGCUGCGCACGGCGAAUGUGGACUACAUGGUGGGCGUGGACCCGGGCUGGCAGACGCCGCUGCCGCCGCCCGAGUCCGGCGUCGGCGCCUACCUCGCGCGCUCCUGGGAGACGGCGCUGCGCCACGCGCUCAUGCCCGUCACGCUCAAAGCGACGGGCACUCCAAGCGAGGCGGAAAGCGGAGCGGAGAAUAACGCAGCGGACCCAGACGGCGGGCAGCGAAGGGACACCGACAUGGCGCAAGUGUACCACAUCUACCCUGACGAGGUGCUGGGCUCUGGCCAGUUCGGCAUUGUCUAUGGCGGGCUGCAUCGGCGGACGCAGAGGCCUGUGGCUAUUAAGGUGAUCGACAAACUCCGUUUCCCCACGAAACAAGAGGCGCAGCUGAAGAACGAGGUAGCGAUCCUGCAGAACCUGUCGCACCCGGGUGUCGUCAACCUCGAGCGCAUGUUCGAGACCCCUGAGAGGAUCUUCGUGGUCAUGGAGAAGCUGAAGGGGGACAUGCUGGAGAUGAUACUCUCGCACGAGAAGGGACGCCUGAGCGAGAGGACCACGAAGUUCUUGGUUGCCCAGAUCCUGGUGGCGCUGAAGCACCUGCACGAGAAGAACAUCGUGCACUGCGACCUGAAGCCGGAGAACGUGCUGCUGACGUCGGACGAGGAGCUGCCGCAGGUGAAGCUGUGCGACUUCGGCUUCGCCCGCAUCAUCGGCGAGAAGUCCUUCCGCCGCUCCGUCGUCGGCACGCCGGCGUACCUCGCGCCGGAAGUCCUGCGCAACAAGGGCUACAAUCGGUCGCUGGACAUGUGGUCGGUGGGCGUCAUCGUGUACGUGUCGCUCAGCGGCACGUUCCCCUUCAAUGAGGACGAGGACAUCAAUGAGCAGAUCCAGAACGCCGCCUUCAUGUACCCCACUGUACCCUGGAAGGAGAUCUCGUGUCUCGCGAUAGACCUGAUUAACAACCUGCUGCAAGUGAAGCAGCGCAAGCGGCUGUCGGUGGACAAGUCUGUGUCGCACGCGUGGCUGCAGACGCGCGAGGCGUGGCUGGAUCUGCGCGCGCUCGAGCGCCGCGUGGGCGCGCGCUAUCUCACGCACGCCAGCGACGACCAGCGCUGGGCCAACGGCGACCACUGACUGUACGUACGUCCUUCUGGCUGGCUGGCUGUUCGCGAUUAACGUCGAGCUAUUGCACGUCGGGGGAAGCGCCGCGGUCGCUGCGCUGGAAGAAGCUGCUGGUCAUGGUGCGCUAGACACACACACACACACACACACACACACACACACACACACACACACACACACACACACACACACACACACACACACACACACACACACACAUUGUUACUAGUACUCCUUUGGUGAGCUCUCGACGUUGAUCCUCACAUUUAAUUUCAGUUACAAAGUGCCACAAGCUAUGGAGCACCUACUAUCUUGCCCAGAAAGAACUAUAUUAAAGUGUCUAUUAACACUACAGGCACAAAAAUAAUAUAGUUUCUAAUUUAUUUAAUAAUUCAAUUUCUCAUUAAUAUCAAUUUAUUUUAAUAAAAAACAAAACAUGUAUGUUAAUCGCAAACCAACGUCGAAGCUCCCAGUAAGCAUUUGAUUGUACGCAUUUGCACAUCACUGUAAUACGUUUAUUUAUUAGGCAUAUCAACUAUACAUACAGACAUACAAUUAUCUCUGUAUCGACUGUUGGUUGACUGGUGGAAAAUGCCUAAGGCUUUAAGAGCCAGGCCCCAUUGGUACAUUGCGGCUCCGUUGUUUUCUACAGGUUUUAACAAUGACGUGCGUUGACGUACGUCGAAACUUCAUACGUUGUUCGGCGUUGACCCGUCGACGUGACGGAAGACGGAGCGCAACGUAACAAUGCCUAGCUCUGAGUCCGACUUUUACAUGGUUUUGUAAUAAAUAAAUAAAUAUUAUGAUUGAUAUGCCUAAGUAAAUAAUUUUUCCCGCGUAUUACCGCGUAUACUAGGUUUCUACCGACACAUUCCUAGCUAGCGGAUGUUUCGAACCAUUUAGAGUAAUUAUUUUAUUUAUAUAUUUACAAGAACGGGAUUUUAAUUUUACGCCUAAUUGACACGAGCUUAGCACUAUAAUUAAUAGUUUAAAACUUAUAACACCCGUUAAAAAUUAUAAUAAUGGCGUAAACCCAAUGUUUUACUACCACCUCUUCAAUAGAGGCUAUUUAACAAAUUCGUAAAUGCAUUUUAUUUGGAACGACUCGCUAUCACAUUACGCAGUUAAAAAUAUUACUUCAGUACUUAAAAUUGUCGGGGGCGUGUAAUUUUAAUCACAUAUCCAAUGUAGGUGUGUAGGCGAAGCUCCUUUAUAUAAAACAGAUCAAUGCGCAUACCUAUCGUUUUGCUUUCCCCAGACAAGAUGACGUUCAUUGAAAAGUGAGCUUUAAAGCGUUUACAAAUUACUGGAUAGCUCGCUGUCAGCUCCUCUCGCAUUGUCAGUGUAAAGUCUGCUUACACAGGACGCUUUAAAGCUCAAUUUUCAAUGAAUGUCAUAUUCCCGGGAGGGACGAGUGUGUUUGCGGCGCAGCUCUAAACUCGUUUCAACUAGGCAUUAAUCUAAGCUUGUACUAAGUACCUAAUUUUUUUGUGAGACGGCGAAUUCCAUGCAUGUUGUGCUUUUGUAUUAUAAUGUAUGGGAGAAUUUUAUGCUUUUUAAAUGAACUCACAUUAUCAAUAAGUUUUCCUAGUCUUUAAGAGUAACCAUAAAGUUACAAUGAAAAAAUCUAUUCCAACUUCUGUCUAUGAUAAAUACACUACUAUACAUCGGCGUAGAUUUGGGAAAUAAAACUUUGUAACUAUAAAAGCACACUGAUUUUAAAUUAAUAUAUAAAACGCAAAUCGAGUGGUAGAUUCGUCUAAGAUGGUUUAACAUCUAAGAAUGAUUUCCUAAGUUAAGAAUUUGAACAAUUUGAUGAACAAAAAUUGGUGCGCGUCACCGCUACUCGCUAUUGUACGGCCUAAAUAGAUUUAAGUAUACAAUAUAACCAAUGUUUAUGUGUGUAAUGGAGGCGUGCGGAUGACACAAAAAGCUUAUUUUUUUGCAAUUCCGGCUGACAGCUCCUGCUGAAGUUGUGUAAUGUCUGAAUUUUUUAUUCCACGCAAUUCUGAAACAUUGUAACAGCCGACCCGUGAAUGGAAAACAAUUGUAUGAAAUAAAAAAAAAUACCUUUAAUGAAUUUCAGGUUUCAAUUUUGAAAUUGUAAUAUAAUUUUUAUUAUCAUGCUAUCAUAUUAACAUUUUUCUUCAUCAGGAAUCCCUGUUAAGUGGUGACUCACACGUUACUAACCAUUUUUGGGAAAACCAUUUUUGUAAUCGAUAAAAACUAAAUUUGAAAUUCAAAACAUUCGCUAUCUCCGUACGCCUUUAUCUGAAUAUAUUAAUAUUAUCAAUGUUGUUAUUAUUAACUUUGUGAUAUUUAUUGGGAGCACAUUGUUGAUAUACUACAUCUACACUAAUGUUCUUAGAGAGUUUAAUGAAUUUUUGAAAAUAAUUACGCGAUGAGGAAAAAUUCUGGAAUCGAGCGGGAAUUAAACUCGACCGGGUCCGUUCAGUAUUUCAUUCCGGUAUAUUCAGUAUUCAUUAAAAAAAUCUAAUUUUGUUUUAAUAUGUUUCGUCCUUUAAGUCACUUAACUAAUUGAUUUGCAGUGAAAGAGCGAGACAAAACAUAGUUUAACUACACUGUUUUUUAUGAAUAGGGUAUAUUAUAAUGUUGCUUUCAAUAAUGCCACUCAAUUUCACAUAAGUUAAUGUAAUUCGCUAGAUAUAGGCAGAUAACUAAUUAGACAAACUCUAUAUCCCCGUAAUAUGCCAAUUCAUUUGAAAGAGUGCCAACAAACAUUGUCACAAAAUAUAUAGAUUUAUUUACAACAUUUUGAAAUAUAUUUAUUAAAAAAGAACCUUUUUAAAAUGUAAUCGAGUUACAUAUUUACUGUUUUAAUAAAUUAGAUUUUAAUGUUGGUAAAUGAAAUAAUAUAUUUAUGAUUUUGAAUAAUAGGUAAAGGGACCUAAUUUAUAUAUGUAUACGGCCUAUAACGCGAGGCGCUUUUUAUAUAUACUGAAUUGUGUAAUAUAAUUAUUUCUACAAAAUGUCAAAAGUCCGCCAUUCCAAUAAUUAAUUCAAAUUUCUUAACUGUGAUUUUGUGUAUAACAUUGUAUAUUUUUUUUAUUAUUAUUUACAAUUACAAUGCAAUCAAGCUUCCUUUUCUGUGAUCUUUUAAACUUAUUCACAACUAUUUUAAAAUAUUAUUUAUUUAAGCAUUUUUAUUUUAAAGAAAAACUUAGAAUGUUGUUGCGCAAAUAUUUUCAUUAUUAUGUACAUUUAAUGUACGCUAUAUAAUUGUGUUCAUUUUAUUACAUAAUUAAAUAUAGCAAAUCUUUGUGAAAUGUAUCAAUUAACAUUUAUAUAAAACACUUUUUACCGAAGUCGUUAUACAUAGCCAGUUUUAUAUGUAUUUAAAGUAUGUAAUAGAAUGAAUACCACGUUUUAAAUAUUUAAAUUUAGAUCUAUACAUGGAGAUAUGUAACGUUGUAUGUCAAUUCUGGUUGUUGAGAGACCGCUAUCACAAAUGGCCUAAGAAGCGGCAGUUCUCCCUAGCUUUAAUUUUUUUAUAAUAGUAUUAUUAUUUUAUCAUGCUUUUUGAAUCAUUAUUUUGAAUUAAUUAGCUCUCCGAGACUUACUGAACUUACAUACUGUAAUUAACAUUAGAUAUUUAUAAUACUGAGAUGUUAUUGUUUUUGCUGUUUUAAAUUUUAAGUUUUCUUAUUAAGCAUAAUAAAAUCUGACUUAUUCUUAACCUAUCUGAACACAAUAAUUGUGUAAUGUGUCAAAUUGGUAAACACCACUGAUUUUUCUUUUUUUUUUAAAUAUAUACAUAACGAAAUUUGUGCAGUGGCAUUGGCCUUCUGACGCAAUAAAUUUGGACCAAACCGAAUACGUGAACUUAGAAAAAUACAUUUAUUUAAAGUACAUAACCAUUGACGGUAAAUAAUAACGACAAUAGCCUUUAUUACAUCGUGAUAAGGAUGUUGAAACGUUACGCCAAACCUGUACGCCACCGGAGUGUCAAAUAUAAUUAAAUAGGUGUUAAAAUGAAUGUUAUCGAUAUACAAAUGUAGGUGUUAGUUUAGUCGCAUGUCCCUAUCACAAAACUAGUACAACAUUUACUAGAAAACAAAUCAACCAAUGAGGUUCCUGUUUUUAAAUAAAGAAAACUGAUUGGUCCCUAGUCUGUUACGAAAGCAAACGAAAUCUCGUUUCUUUCAUACUCAUAAUAAAAUGUUAAUAGCUAUAUGGUUUCACAACUCCAGGAGACAAACAUUGCAGUCUGUCAAGAUGGUAAAGACAAAUGAUUUUUUAUUACAUUGUUUGCCAUUCCAAUACCAAAUAGUCAAGAUUGGCUAGUAACCAUAACCGCAGUGUUACCAGCCAACAGGAGACAGCGCCCACAUUUAUUUUCUUAACUUUCUUAACAGACUGUACCGAUGAUACUACAUCUUUCUUUUCAUUAAAAAAAACUUGAAAAAGAAAUAAAAUAAUGUUUAAUUUAUUUACAAAUCAAAGAUUAUAUAAUGCAAGAGAAUCUAAAGAGUGAAUUAGUCAUUUAAAUAUUAUUUGCUAGUUUUGUGACUUGGUCCGAGAACGCAUAAUAAUGACUAUUUAUAUUAAACUUAAUUAUAAUUAUAAAGGUGAAGAUGAGCAAGCAACCAGGGAUUAGGGGAGUUUAUGUAUAACACUCAUCUGUUUUAAACUUGCUUUCUAUCGUCCUUUAGAAUAAUUGAUGGAAACAUUGAAAAAUAAAUGCCAAUAUGAUCCUGUCAGAUCAAAAUUAUAUAACGUAUAUUAUACUUAUACUACAUUUGUGGAUCUUUUUAAAUGAUGACAAUUUUUAUGUAACACCGUCAUAAUAAUAAACAUAUAGUCAAUAUAUAGAGUACAAAAUAAACGAGCGUAAACCUUGGGCGUUUAUCGACCGAUCUUGAUAAUGGUCAAGAUCGGUCGAUAAACACCCAGGGUUUACGCUCGUUUAUUUGGUAUUGCAAUUACAAAAAAUGUAUCCAGAUCGUAAAAGUCAGUUUUCUGCUGUUUAUAGACAGACUGGAAAUUAAAUAUAUAAACGGUUUCAAAAAAAACUUUUAGAAUAAUCUAGUGUUUCAAACGUUAAAAAGCAUGGUUGAAACAAGCGAGCCUAUAAUAAUAUAAUAAAUCGAUAAAUUUGUUAUUGAAAAAUAUUGCAUGCGUGAAAGGGCAAUCUGUUGAAACUCUUACUUAUGUUUACCAUUCUUGUAUGUACGUACGUGUAUACAGAUUUUGCAAUAAAUGUUUUUGACUUUGA